GACGUCGAAUAUCGACGUCAUAAACACCAAAUUCGUUCGUGUUUAUGACGUCGAAUAUCGACGUCAUAAACACCAAAUUUGUUGGUGUUUAUGACGUCGAAUAUCGACGAC